AGAGUUUGAUCCUGGCUCAGGACGAACGCUGGCGGCGUGCUUAACACAUGCAAGUCGAACGGAAAGGCCCUUCGGGGUACUCGAGUGGCGAACGGGUGAGUAACACGUGGGUGAUCUGCCCUGCACUUUGGGAUAAGCCUGGGAAACUGGGUCUAAUACCGAAUAGGACCACGCGCUUCAUGGUGUGUGGUGGAAAGCUUUUGCGGUGUGGGAUGGGCCCGCGGCCUAUCAGCUUGUUGGUGGGGUAAUGGCCUACCAAGGCGACGACGGGUAGCCGGCCUGAGAGGGUGACCGGCCACACUGGGACUGAGAUACGGCCCAGACUCCUACGGGAGGCAGCAGUGGGGAAUAUUGCACAAUGGGCGCAAGCCUGAUGCAGCGACGCCGCGUGAGGGAUGACGGCCUUCGGGUUGUAAACCUCUUUCAAUAGGGACGAAGCGCAAGUGACGGUACCUAUAGAAGAAGCACCGGCCAACUACGUGCCAGCAGCCGCGGUAAUACGUAGGGUGCGAGCGUUGUCCGGAAUUACUGGGCGUAAAGAGCUCGUAGGUGGUUUGUCGCGUUGUUCGUGAAAACUCACAGCUUAACUGUGGACGUGCGGGCGAUACGGGCAGACUAGAGUACUGCAGGGGAGACUGGAAUUCCUGGUGUAGCGGUGGAAUGCGCAGAUAUCAGGAGGAACACCGGUGGCGAAGGCGGGUCUCUGGGCAGUAACUGACGCUGAGGAGCGAAAGCGUGGGGAGCGAACAGGAUUAGAUACCCUGGUAGUCC
rnacentral:rRNA from 1 species